UGCGCAGGCGGUUAUGUAAGACAGAGGUGAAAUCCCCGGGCUCAACCUGGGAACUGCCUUUGUGACUGCAUAGCUGGAGUACGGCAGAGGUAGCUGGAAUGGAUAGUGUAGCGGUGAAAUGCAUAGAUAUUAUCCAGAACACCGAUUGCGAAGGCAGGUUACUAAGUCAUAACUGACGCUGAGGCACGAAAGUGUGGGGAUCAAACAGGAUUAGAUACCCCGGUA
rnacentral:rRNA from 1 species